AAUGCUUAUGCUACUGGUCAAAGGAAGCGACGCAAGGUCCACAAUGAACAAGGUUCAAAUGAGGAGCAUGUACGCUGGCAUAAGACAGGCAAGACCAAAUCUGUGAUGGAAAAUGGAGUGCAGAAAGGCUGCAAGAAGAUCAUGGUUCUUUAUAAAAGCUCAAAGAAGGGGUCCAAACCUGAUAAAUCCAAUUGGGUGAUGCAUCAAUACCAUCUGGGGACUGAUGAAGAUGAAAAAGAGGGUGAAUAUGUUGUUUCCAAAAUU
rnacentral:misc_RNA from 1 species